CUCUUUUCCUCUUUUCCCUCUUUCAUCUUCCAUCGAGAAAUCCUCCAUCGAGCAUCAUCUUCCAUCGAGAAAUCCUCCAUCGAGCGUCAUCUUCCAUCCUGCAGUCUGAUUAGAGAUCACGAAACAUUGCAGAAAGUAGCAGUCUCCCUCUCUGCUACUGUGAUGCUGUGGUGCUGCCAUUGCUGAGAAAAGCAAUUCAAAAUGGAACAAAGGCAGCAAAGAUGCAUAAAAGAGGAAGGAAUCUGAUCAGGUAAUUAGAUUGUUUUGGGGGUAUCUUCAGUGUGCCUUUGUUAUUGACCCAGAAGAUUUUGGCAAUGGCUUCAAUGGACUGGUUUUGCAUCUUUCAACAGACAAUAUCCUCGCUUAUUGUCUAUUGUCUAUUCAAGCUUCUAA